CCGGCACGGGUGAGUAACGCGUAUCCAACCUGCCGUCUACUCUUGGACAGCCUUCUGAAAGGAAAGAUUAAUACAAGAUGGCAUCAUGAGUCCGCAUGUUCACAUGAUUAAAGGUAUUCCGGUAGACGAUGGGGAUGCGUUCCAUUAGAUAGUAGGCGGGGUAACGGCCCACCUAGUCUUCGAUGGAUAGGGGUUCUGAGAGGAAGGUCCCCCACAUUGGAACUGAGACACGGUCCAA
rnacentral:rRNA from 1 species